rnacentral:rRNA from 1 species
AUUGGACGCUGGCGGCAGGCCUAACACAUGCAAGUCGAGCGGAUGAAGGGAGCUUGCUCCUGGAUUCAGCGGCGGACGGGUGAGUAAUGCCUAGGAAUCUGCCUGGUAGUAGGGGAUAACGUCCGGAAACGGGCGCUAAUACCGCAUACGUCCUGAGGGAGAAAGUGGGGGAUCUUCGGACCUCACGCUAUCAGAUGAGCCUAGGUCGGAUUAGCUAGUUGGUGGGGUAAAGGCCUACCAAGGCGACGAUCCGUAACUGGUCUGAGAGGAUGAUCAGUCACACUGGAACUGAGACACGGUCCAGACUCCUACGGGAGGCAGCAGUGGGGAAUAUUGGACAAUGGGCGAAAGCCUGAUCCAGCCAUGCCGCGUGUGUGAAGAAGGUCUUCGGAUUGUAAAGCACUUUAAGUUGGGAGGAAGGGCAGUAAGUUAAUACCUUGCUGUUUUGACGUUACCAACAGAAUAAGCACCGGCUAACUUCGUG